GGAAUAUUGCACAAUGGGCGCAAGCCUGAUGCAGCGAUGCCGCGUGAGGGAAGAAGGUUUUAGGAUUGUAAACCUCUGUCUUCAGGGACGAUAAUGACGGUACCUGAGGAGGAAGCUCCGGCUAACUACGUGCCAGCAGCCGCGGUAAUACGUAGGGAGCGAGCGUUGUCCGGAAUUACUGGGUGUAAAGGGAGUGUAGGCGGGACUGCAAGUCAGAUGUGAAAUGUAGGGGCUCAACCCCUGAACUGCAUUUGAAACUGCGGAUCUUGAGUGAAGUAGAGGUAAGCGGAAUUCCUAGUGUAGCGGUGAAAUGCGUAGAUAUUAGGAGGAACACCAGUGGCGAAGGCGGCUUACUGGGCUUUAACUGACGCUGAGGCUCGAAAGCGUGGGGAGCAAACA
rnacentral:rRNA from 1 species